rnacentral:lncRNA from 1 species
CGAUAAUCUAAUUUUAUUUAACAUUUUUUUAAGAUAUAUUAAAUCUAUGUUUAACACCACUUAAUUCUAUUCUUAGUCCGAAUUCAUAUGAAAUAUAUUCAUUAAUCUACAUGAUUUAUCACACACGAUUGCACACGUAUUUUAAAUAUACAGUGUUCUACCUGUUGUGAGCUUUUAAGGACAACAAAUAAAUAACAAGUUAUCUAAAUGGUGGUCAAUCAUUCGAACAACGCAAUAUCAAUGCAUAAAUAUUCAAAAACUCAAGAAAUUACUAAAUUAACGAGUCUUGAAUUGAAAUUAACAACUAAAAAGGUAUAUCAUCCAUCCAAUACAAAGGAAAAAUUAGCAUAGCAUUAUUUUAUCUAAAUUACACAAGAUGAAUUGAAUAGAUAUCACUCAGAAAUAAGAGAUAAUAAAGAAGGAAAACUACACAUUGUUGACUUGAAUCUUGAAACGCCAUUGUGAAUCUUCAAUCUUCAUAUAUAAUUUGACUUCAAUUGCGCUCUAUAUAUGUUCUUCACUUCGAAAAUAUAAAGAAUAUGUGUAGAAUCAGGUCGAAUGGAGUUUUGGGACGUUCUGGCCUUGAUGUGGAAUACAUAGGAUGACAUACGAUUGUUUCUAUGUAAAAUUAUAUCAAAAGAAGGAAACUGAAAUUUUCGCCAUAAAAAAUAGCCUUGUGAUUGCCUAAAAGGGCCAAAUUUGGGACAUGUUGGCUCCGGAGGCUCGAGUGCGAUAGCACCCAAGGUGAACCUUGAGGCCGCAUGGUUUACUUCAAGUAUUAGUUAAUGCAAUUUAGUCCCUAUAGUUUUAAUCUUGCCAUUCUUCUCUACUUUUAACUUGUUUUCUUCAAUUCUUUGUCAAAUCACGAGUUUUACCUAUUAACAAAAUACAUAAAAAAUAAUAAUAAUAAAUUAGGUAACAUAUUAUCAAAAGAAGUAUAAAAUUUUAUUGUUUAAGACCCCAAAGAAGUGUAGCAAAUACGCUUAUAAUCACGCUACCCCU